rnacentral:sRNA from 1 species
ACUGACAGAGAGACAGAGACACAGACAGACUGACAGUGUGUUAAAAUUAGCACUGCUUCUUAUUAGAAUUGAAUGAUGGUAUCAUUGCUGCUGUUCUUAUUUGUGGGGUGUUAGAGAUAAAAGUCAUUUUAGCAAGAAGUAUGUUAUUGAAAAAAAUCAUGAACCCAACAGGCGGAAAUGAACUUCAGGGAAGCCGGAACCCAAACCUAGAAAGCAGUGGGAGCCACUUGAGUUGCCCUGUCCUCUUUCCUUCUCCCUAUGUAUCUAAUUCAUUCAGAAUUGUUUCCUCUUUGUGGACAGCUCGUAAACGGUGCCCUGCAGCCCCUCAGGCCUUCCUAGAGCUGUCUGCAUGUUUCCCUUGCACGCUGUCUUCUCAUCCAGAUUUCCAAGGCAGGAUUUCUAUCGACUCUUCUAGUCCCUUCAGCUAAGGAUGGGGCAGGGAAAGGGUCACAGUUUACAAACUGGGUGUCAGUUUCCUAACACUGUGGGCCCCCAAGCCAAUACAGAAAAAUACCAUAGACCAAGCACAUGUUUCUCAAGAUCACCACAGAAUGCAAAGAUUUUAAGCCACAUGGCACUAGCGCUGCUUUGGGAGGUCAGUGGACAGAGCACAGGGAAGCAAGAAUCCUGGACUAAAGCCCACAGAGUCACCAGCUCCCAAUGCCAUGCUUGAAGAGCAGGUCAACAAUACCCAUGCUGACUCAGCCUGAGGUUCGCCAGGGAUUUGCUGGGGCUUUCUACUCCCCUUCAAAGGAUCCAGAGAACAAAGGCCUGUUGUCCAAGGGCAUUGCCCAAGGAGGCAGAGAUGGUGAAUUCCACCAGAGGGCUCUCCUCAGAAAGACUGGUUAACCUUUCUGAGAACGCCAAGGUUCUCUCCUGAGAAACAUUCUUUGAGCAUUCAGAGUCUGCUGAUCUCAACUUCAGACUAGACCUUUAGGACUUCUGAAGUGAGAAAGAGCAGAGCAGGGCGACAGGGAGUGAGGUUGUGGCCUGUGACCUCUAGAUGACCUGUCUGCACUGUGUGCUCUCAGGGCUGGAGUCCAGAGGAAGCCCUGUGUGGUCUGAGGUUCCCACACCAGGGGAUGUUCUCCAAGAACACCCCCCUCUCUCUUUCUCUUUUCCUUCUGCCUGGAGUGUUGGCUGUAGCCACUCCCUGACAGCCUGAGAGCUGCAGGGGCAGCUGAUAGGAUGAGUCCCAACAUUCGGUAAGAGGGUUUGCAGGAGAGUCGUCUGCGAAGUUACAGAGGAUGUCAGGGAGAAUGUGUGACAUUGCGAGCCAGCACCUCUAAAAUGGGGGAGCCAGGGAGCCAAGGAGCACGACCAGCCAGGAGCUGCCCCAGGGCACAGGGAGAAGACCAGCACCCAAAGACUAUUUUUAUUUCUAAAUCUCGAGGCCAUGCUCCCAAGAGAGCAUGCCUGAGCUACUCAGAAACCUCCUGAUGACAACGAGAAGUGGCCGGGUGUGGGUGAGCAGAGAAGUCCAUGCUGUCGGAUGAACAUUUCCACUCUCUUCAGCCCCCCGCCCCCAAUUCCUUCCACUUUGUCUGUGGCAAACGGAUGAUCUGAAAACUACUGGUUCUGGCGAGGUCCAAAGUUAUUUGAAGUUGAGAAGAGUUGUUGGGCAGUGAACAGCAGGAAGCUCUGGAGUAAAGAAGCUGUUGCUGUGAGGAGAAGGGAUGCAUGCCGUCAGGGCCCACGGGCUUGCUGGCCUCAGUAGUGCUGAGUUCGCACAUUCUGUAAUAUGUCGUGUGGAAAAAAAAAGUCUCCCUUCCAAUUCCAUCUCUGCUUUUCCAUUAUUAAAAAAAAAAGAAAAGAAAAGAAAAAAAAGAGAGCUUUGUACUUGUUGGGAAGUGGUGUGGUGCCUGUUAUCCUGUUCUCACUCUAUCCUGUGUGGAUGGAGGCUGCUUCCACUGGCUCCAUGAUGGUCCUCUCCCAGCAUCCUUCUUGACACGGGUUGCCCAGUUGUUUUGCAUCAGGGCUACAUCCCCCCUCUCUCUCCAACAAAUGGAUUCUCAUCUUGGCCGUGAUGAUUUUGUUUCUCAAUCCAUUCUCUUCACAGCCCGGGUGCUUUUCUUAGGAUGUUAGUAGCUGGGCAGUGGUGGUGCACACCUUUAAUCCUAGCACUCGGGAGGCAGAGGUAGGCAGAGCUCUAAGUGUGAGUCCAGCCUGCUGUACAGUGUGAGUUCCAGGGAAGCCAGGGCUACAUAGUGAGACCCUGUCUUAAAAACCAAACCAAACCAAAGACAUAAGUAACAUUGAACCACUUGACUUCUCUUUAUUCCUUUAACAACUUCACUCACACUCACACUCACUCACACUCACUCACACUCACACACACACACACACACACACACACACACACACACAUUCUACCUCCCAAAGAACAUCCAAGAUAAUGGCACCUGUUGGCCACUCCAGUGACACUAGACUCUUCCUGUUCUAGAACUGAGCUCUAGAGCCUUAGAGUCUUGGCUUACUCCACUAACCACUUGAGAAGCACAACCUCCAGCUCCUGGAUCCUCCCCUUCAUUCAUGUCUCCAAGUCAAGUGAAUUCUUCUAUUAUGUCUUCCCUGAGAGACACUGCGUGUGCCUGAUUACAGAAUUCUGCUCACUGCUUUCGUACCAGUUUUAUUUGCACUCAUAUGUGCAUGUGUGUGUGUGUGUGUGUAGCAGAAACCUCUGAGUCAAGAUUAGGGGUCUGGAAAUAAAGUAAGAGAAACAGGUCUAAAUGCAAUUCCAUGUCACAAGGGUCAUUUCAUUGUCCACUGUGAGAACAUUUAAUUUAAUUUUCUUAUGCCCAAACUCCACUUAGUUCAUGGCGGUUAGUUCCCCCUUGACAAGGCUUUCAGGGUGGAUAUUUCUGCUACCCUCUGAGGAAUUUCAGAAUUCCAUCUCUCCUUUUCUGCCUCCAUGCAUUCAUAGUUCAGAAGGUCUUCCUGAUGCUGAAGGAGAAGCACCCUCUCCUGUCAGUCUUCUUGGACACCUGUGUCUUCAAGGUUCACGCACCUUUCUUGGUACUUGUUCUCCUGCCCUUUGCAACAAGAUCCUGAGGGAAGCUGAGAAAUGGUGCCUUCUAGACUUUAUGAGUAUCUCGGCUCUCACAGCUACACCUCUCUCUGGCAGGUCCUCAGUUGGGAGUCACCUAUGUGUUCCCUUUCUCAUUUUGUGGCAAUACUUCAGUAGCCCUUCAAGCUCUCAGUCUUGGCUAGCCUGUCCCAUGUUGUCUCAUUCUCUGGCCUUUUCUCUAAAUAAACUCUCCCAUCCCAGCCUCUUUGGCACUGCCUUGUACUCUUCCCCUUUAUAAUUUACAGUUUGGUCUCUCUUUGGAUAAAAGAAACGUUUCCUUUUUGUGAGUAAAAACAGAGGUUUUCUAUCUACUGUUUUAGACAUAGUCUCCAUGUCUUAGCAAGGAAGGGUGCCUUCUGUUCUGCAAGGCCGGGCUGGUUGACAGGAAGAUUGUACCUCUGGCUCUUUUUCUAUCAAAAGACGCUCAUCUGCACGAAUAGGCCAAGAUCUUUCCAUUCUCAAGUUCUAAACAUUUAAAAUUUUGACUCUGUGCCUCAGGAAUGAGGGGUGGGGCAGCAGUAAGCAAAACUCACAUUUAUAACCUAUUCCCUGCUCAUUAACUGUACCCACUCAUUGUCCAGACAAGAUGUAGGGCCUGUCAAGUAGCUUAAUAACGGUGGAGGGUGGAGAUUAAGUGGACCUUAGAGGCUGUGGGAGGGGGAAUCUCGUGCUAAGGGAGAUAGAGGAGUCAGAGGAUGACACCCUGGUUCCUGGUUCUGGCAGCAGAGUACUGCAUAGUAUAAUAGUUGUAGUCCGUGGCCGUGUGGUACAGACUUGGGGAUGAAUAGCCAGACCUGGUUUUGUCCACAUUAAGUCUGAGAUGUUUUCAAGAGACCUCCUAGGGAGGGAUGCCAGGCAGAUAAUUAGAUUUCUGAGAUUAGUUCUCAGAGGAGAAAUCCACGAGGUGAUAUCAAUUUGGAAGAUGUCGGAGGACAGAUGGUGUUAAAUGAUGGAAAUGGGCCUCACGUGGUCUCAAGGCCUUGGGUGGGGCUUAAGCCUUGCUGUGUGGUCCUAAAACUACCCCACCCCAUGAACUGGAAGGAGAAGAGAGGUCUGGCUCCAGCUGGCUGUCCCAGGACCCCGUAGGACGCAGCAGCUGGGGACUGAACCCAGGGCCUUGCGCUUGCUAGGCAAGCGCUCUACCACUGAGCUAAAUCUCCAACCCCGGUGUCAAUCAUUCUUGAAGCUCUGGUGGGUGGUGCAGGAGCAAGAACCCCAAGCCCACUAUUCCAUGACCGGAGGAGACCUGGAGCCACACGCCUGAACAUGUUCUCUCAUGGAGGAUCUCAGAGCCAGGUGGUAUUGCCCCGCGCAUGUGUAUUCCUUAUAAAUGCAGAAAGCCACAGGCAUCCAUCUCAAAGGACAUCACAUUUAGGAAAGUCAAUUCAAUCUUCCCUUAUCACUUAAACAAGGGCAUUAAAGGCAUUCAAAUGUACAGCCCAAGUGACAUUGAUUAAAUUCUUAUUUUCUUAUUGUCCUAUACCUGUACGGUAUGAACUACACCUGCUCUGGUCUCACCAUCCUCAAGCCCACCACCUACCCAAAUAAUUCCAGAUCCUUCUCCCUUACCCACAUAACUACCACUCCAUAGCUGCUGCCAUCACCUCACCCCCGCCCCGCCCCCCACUUCUCUCCUCCUCUCUCCCUCCCCACAUCCUUGCUCCCUCUUUAUGGUUAUUGGUUUGACUUCUAUGUAUAGAUUCCCUUGGUUUUCUUCCAGGUUCUAUCCUGUUGAGAGCAUUUUAACUAGAAAGCAUGAGUCUUAAAAUGCACUUAAUACCCGUAACCUACUAACAGGGUAUCUUAGCAACACAGUGCAUUAUAGAUUAUCCUUGGUUAUCACGGGGCUGACUGGAAGACAUAUGUAGCCCGUAGGACAUACUGCUGGCCACAGGCCAGGUCGUGGCUCAAUUUGUGCUGAGUGUUUACAGCUUUUGCAUCAUUACGAAGUCAAGAAAUGACAAGUAGAGCGGUGGCAAUUCAGAGACUGCCACUGUCUGUGUAUAAGAAGGGAAGUUAGGGGGAGCGAUGUCACCCCGUGUAUGUGGGAGAAAGGUUAAUGGAAUUAGAUAAGAGGAAGGGAAGGGUAUUUGAGCAGCAACUUCCACUGUUAAUUCAAAGUGAGCUUCCGUGAUCUCAUUUGAACUUCUUCAACAUCUUACCAUAUGUUCUUCUUCGUUUUGUUAAUCUUUGUGUCCGUGUUUGUGUGCAUGCGUGUGUGUGUGUGUGUGUGUGUGCGCGCGCACGCGUAUGUGUGCAUGUGUGUGAGCAUGAGUGCACUUGUGGAGGUCAGAGGACAAUUCUAGGGAUGCUCCUUGCCCUUUACCUUGCUUGAGAGACUGGGUCUUUUGCUGUUCGCUGCUGCACAAGCCAGACUAACUGGACCAUAAGCUUCCGGGACUUUUCCUGUCUCUGCCUCCCCCCUCCCCCCACCAGAAAAGCUAGUAUUAUAGAGAUGUUAACACACCUGGCUUUACAGGGGUGGGGAGACCCGAACUCAGGUUCUCCUGCUUGUGCAGGGGCUACUCUACUCACUGGGGCAUCCCCAGUUCUAUAGUCCGUCCUUAUGAACCCAGGUUGAAAUGAAAGUAACCUCAGGUUCAUGUAGAAGGUAAUGCGGCUAAAGCUAAAGUGAUUUUAAAAAGGGAGAAGACCAGCACUUCUUCCCGGCAUGAAGGUAGGAAAGAUGUAGGAUGUGGCCUCUUCUCCCAGCUCACCUGUCUUCCCUUUCCACAGAGGGUGGGACAGAGGCCGGCUCAUCCUUUGGUCGGGGAAACUAGGGAACAAAGAGCGAGGGCUGUUCUGACUCCCUGUCUCCUUCUGUAUUAAACAAAGAGGCUAGGACAGAUGGCAUCGGGUCAGAUUCUGUGAAUGUUGGCAUAACCCAUGGAAAACACAGCUGCCUCCUGAUCUAGUGCUGACCCAGUCACGUGCUUGGAGAAACGCUGCCAGAUAUCCCCAAGAUGAAGUCUCUCACCGAACUUGGAACAAGCUCCAGAAAUCCUCCUGGCUUUUCGUAGCCACUGCAUUCUCUUGUCUGAGCCUUCACUUAUCUUUUAAUAAAGGAAGAGGAAAAUGGAGUCCAUGUUCCUCAGUUUCUUCAGUGUAGAAAGAAAGAAUCAACUAACAGCGAUCUCCAGCAGAUCUUGAACGCUAUGUGUGAGAAACUGCUUGGACUCAGUCAGUUAAUCAGUGUCUGCUGAGUGUCAAGCAUUUCUGAUAUGCCCUGAUAAGGGCUUGGGGAUGGGCUUUGGGGUGGAUGGGUAAGGCAGUAAACUGGAGGAGGUGCAGUUCCUGUUCUCCAGAAAACUAGCAGUAGCCAUACUCCUGGACAGGUCUUCACACACCCACGCCUGGCCAGCUCUGAGGCCUAGGAUGCCUGGUGCUACAUCAGCCUUUGGAAGUAACCUGGGGGUGUUGUUCAGCCCAGCCUAUGAUCUCCAUAGACAGGAAAGAGACUGAAGGGGGAGGGGGAGUGAGAGCAUGCAGGCAUGCACACGUGCCUAUGUGUGGUAUGUGGGAUGAAUCUGCUCCCUUUUCAAGCUGGAGGGUCUGGAGGGGAAGACGGGGCCAACCCCUCUCCUCCUGCUCACAUCACAUAGACCAGCCACUGAUCUCAGUAGGGAGUCGAAGCCACAGACUCCCCCAGUGACACAGACACUUGGCUGGCCACCCACUCCCUCUUCAUGGUUCACAUGACUCCUGUGACCUGUGCCAAAAUGAAUACCAGAUUCCAGGAAAGAAAGUUCCUGGGAACCAGAACCUGUAGGAUUGCAGUGAUGUCACUACCGCUCUUGAGAGAUGACCUGAUGCGCCCAUGCUGUGUGCACAUCAGAAACAUCCCAAGAAGAGGAAGCACGCUCACCCAACCCCCAGGGUGGCAAGGCAUUCCAAUAGUCAUUAGGAAGAUGAACUCUGAAUCCCCUGACUUUGGUGGUUUGCUCAGUUCCUGGGCUACUGUGAUAUCUUGGAUGUGACGCUUUCAACUGGAUUGAAUUAAGCGUCCGUGUGCUCUCUGGAUGGCCCCCUGUGAAAGAUUUAGAGUUAAUUGCUGAGCACGUUACUCAACAUUCGUGAAAUGAGUCUGAGUGUUCAGAGUGUGGAGAUGUGUUUUGCCUGGCGGUGUAUUUCGAGCUUGUUUUUUUCCAUCUUGUUGAAACAACUGGGAGCUGUCCAAAAGAACCGUGUUCUGCGUGCCGUGCACUUGGCUUUGGAGUGUGGCGCAAACGGCCACCAGUGUCUGGGACAGCCCAGUGACUGGGCUUUUACUGUUUCCAAAUGGUCAGCAGCACAAUUUUGUAGGGAUAAAGUGCAGAACUAUGCAAAGGGUAAAAGGAGGAAAAGUGAUCCGCAUAGGAGAACACGUAGAAGUGGUUGAAAUACUUAGAUGGGGUGUCAGGUUAAGCUCUGUUUUAAGACAUGACUCCACACUGUGUAGUCCAGGUUGGCUUUGAACUCACAUCCAUCUUUUUGCCUCGGCCUCCUAAGUAUUGGGAUCACAAGAGAGCACACCCACGCCUGGCUUUCUAAACUUGCAACUUUUUUUUUUUAAAUCCCUUUCUAAACCAGAAAUUCCCGUGGGCUAAGGAAACACUAAUAUACUCUGCCAGCCUUUAAGAGCAGUGUGCAGGGUGCAGAGUGGGCUUAGAGGGUAAAGGUGCAGGGUGCAGAGUGGGCUUAGAGGGUAAAGGUGCAGGGUGCAGAGUGGGCUUAGUGGGUAAAGGUGCUCACUGACA